rnacentral:lncRNA from 1 species
GCUUUUAGCUUAGCAGGUAUUUCAUUUUUAAGAGAAGGAAUGCCUGAAGAUAAGAGAAGUUCCUCCCUGGAGUAUGUUUGAGCAAGCAAAAUAAGCAAAGUGAAUUUGGGUUUUAUAUACUGAGUGAAAUAUAUAGACGCACAUUUUCUUCAUUUAAAGUAUAUUAAAGUUUCCUAAACAGGAUUUUUAAUUCAUUUAAAACGGCAUUAGGUUAGGUGGGCUGUUGGUGCUUUGAAUUAAUGUGCAAGCUGUUAAUCUCCAUAGACCUGGAUUUAAAAUUAGACAAAGCAAUAAUUAGUUUGGCACCAUCAUUUCACUACCCAGAGGGUAAUAAUGUAGGUCAUAAAAUACUACAGCCUGGCACAAGUUUUUUUGUACAAAACAAGGAUCUAGUAUUAGGUGGUGUGGGAAAAAAAAAAAAAAAAGAUUGUCACUGGGAAGUACAAUGGCUUAGCUUUUGAUGUAUGUCCCACUAUUCCUAAAGAGACCUAAAUUCAGAAAUUCUUAUCAGGUUUUCCUGUUUAAGGUGAGUCUUUCCCUUCUAAGUGCCACAAAGAAAUCUUCAUAUCUUCUCUCAGUAGCUGGUGGGAUUUUUUUUUUUUCCUGUAAUAUGCUUCCACACACAGCAUUCGUGUGUUUAGUUACAGAAUUAAGAUUUUCAUUUGCACCAUGCUUUUAUUUUGCUGUAGUUAUUUUCCCCACCGGUUUGCCAUUUUGUUAAAUUAGAAAAUUGGCAUACUGUAAACAUUUUUUAAAAUAUAAAAGUGUUGCAUUCAGGGAAGUGCUUACCAUACAUAACUUGAUUUGUUUUCAUGGCAAAUGACUACUGGCAAUAUCAAUAAUUCAAGAACAGAAACAAUGAAAAUACAGAGGAAUUGCAUUUGGAUACUUCUUCCUGUCAAUCAUCUUUGCCAGAUUCCUAUUUGAACAUCCUGAAAAUGAGGAAGACAUCAGAUCUCGCCUUAAGGAAGUCUGAUACCCAGGAGAUGAUCCGAGUUUCAACUCUCUGUGGUGAAAAGAGGGUGAAGAGCAGCAGAAAAUCCAAUUCUCUUGACCUUCAGGACAUGGAGCAGAACUCAUCGCUUCCACCUGGCCUACCCAAAUUUUAUGUACACAGUGGAAGUUCACGCUCUCAGUUUAUCUAUCCCCAAGUCCUAGGCCACUUCCAGAGGAGUCUGAGAAGCAGGGAUCAAGUGCUUGGGAAGCCAGUCAGAACCUUCAGUGCAUGCCUUUUUCACCUGCUACAAUGCUUUAUUGAUCUAAAAUGUGAUUAAACAGUAAAUAAACUUUCCCAUUAAAAUAAAACA